AACCCAAACCAAUGGACCUACGGCGUAAAGCGUGUUACAGAAGAGAAGCAUACUAAAGUUAAACCUUAACUAGGCUGUAAAAAGCUGCAGUUAACAUAAAAAUACAGCACGAAAGUAACUUUAAUAUUUCCGACCACACGAUAGCUAAGAUCCAAACUGGGAUUAGAUACCCCACUAUGCUUAGCCCUAAACCUAGAUAGUUAGCUCAAACAAAACUAUCCGCCAGAGAACUACUAGCAACAGCUUAAAACUCAAAGGACUUGGCGGUGCUUUAUAUCCCUCUAGAGGAGCCUGUUCUAUAAUCGAUAAACCCCGAUAAACCUCACCAUCUCUUGCUAAUU
rnacentral:rRNA from 1 species